CCCUUAGAUGUCCUGGGCCGCACGCGCGCUACACUGAUGCAUUCAACGAGUUUUACCUUGGCCGAGAGGCCUGGGCAAUCUUUUAAACCUGCAUCGUGAUAGGGAUAGAUUAUUGCAAUUAUUAAUCUUGAACGAGGAAUUCCUAGUAAACGCAAAUCAUCAAUUUGCAUUGAUUACGUCCCUGCCCUUUGUACACACCGCCCGUCGCACCUACCGAUUGAAUGGUCCGGUGAAGCCUCGGGAUUGUGGCCAGUUCACUUUAUUGGGAGUUGGCUGUGAGAACUUGUCUAAACCUUACCAUUUAGAGGAAGGUGAAGUCGUAACA
rnacentral:rRNA from 1 species